rnacentral:rRNA from 1 species
UGCCAGCAGCCGCGGUAACACGAACCGUCCAAACGUUAUUCGGUAUCACUGGGCUUAAAGCGUGCGUAGGCGGCUUGGCAAGUUGGGUGUGAAAUCCCUCGGCUCAACCGAGGAAUUGCGAAAAAAACUGCCAAGCUUGAGGGAGAUAGGGGUGAGCGGAACUAAUGGUGGAGCGGUGAAAUGCGUUGAUAUCAUUAGGAACACCUGUGGCGAAAGCGGCUCACUGGGUCUCUUCUGACGCUGAGGCACGAAAGCUAGGGGAGCGAACGGGAUUAGAUA